rnacentral:rRNA from 1 species
GAUGAACGCUGGCGGCGUGCCUAAUACAUGCAAGUAGAACGCUGAAGCUUGGUGCUUGCACCGAGCGGAUGAGUUGCGAACGGGUGAGUAACGCGUAGGUAACCUGCCUCUUAGCGGGGGAUAACUAUUGGAAACGAUAGCUAAUACCGCAUAAAAGUCGAUAUCGCAUGAUGUUGAUUUGAAAGGUGCAAUUGCAUCACUAAGAGAUGGACCUGCGUUGUAUUAGCUAGUUGGUGAGGUAACGGCUCACCAAGGCGACGAUACAUAGCCGACCUGAGAGGGUGAUCGGCCACACUGGGACUGAGACACGGCCCAGACUCCUACGGGAGGCAGCAGUAGGGAAUCUUCGGCAAUGGGGGCAACCCUGACCGAGCAACGCCGCGUGAGUGAAGAAGGUUUUCGGAUCGUAAAGCUCUGUUGUAAGAGAAGAACGAGUGUGAGAGUGGAAAGUUCACACUGUGACGGUAACUACCAGA